UAUAUAAACUACUGAAGGACGCAUGUAGGUAUUAUUGUAUAUCAUAUAGAGCUGGUGGACGUAAAUAUAACUUGGUCAAAGAAGACAAAAUGGGAUUUGUCAAACAAGUGACUUUGAAGCUUUUAGUAGUUGCCAUCUUGGUCAUUGCUGCUGCAAUGCCGUUAAAGAAACGUGAAAGCACUAGCAUGAUGUGAGCUUCAGCAUAAACUCUUUAGCCAAUGUAAAAUAAUAAGAGAAAAAUGUUUGAUCACUUGAAUUUUUGAUCCAAUAAAUAAUUUGAUUAAUUAACUAAA